AUGUUUGGCUAUUCUGCAUCAGAAGCAAUUGGCCGGAAUGCCGUUGAAUUAAUCGUUCAUCCCGCUGACUAUGAUGCAGCACAAAUUGUCAUCCAGAAAAUAUUUACGGGGAAGUGUUGGAGAGGGAAGUUUCCUGUUAAGAACAAGUCAGAGGAGAUAUUUAGUCCCUCAGGCUCAGCGAAAUCCUACCCAAGUACCAGAAAGUCCCAAUUUCAUGCUAACAACCGGCCUAAAAGUGAUUCACUAAACGAACGUUCUCUUCACUCACAGCAACCUGUUCGAUCUACUACCACCUCCAAGAUAGUAACUUUGGUUACCAGUGUGACAAGUAGAGUCCGUUCUCGGAUAAGGACAUGUCAGAAUGGCGAUAAACAAUAUGGUAGUGACUGUGAGGGCCAGUAUUCUGCACUUGAUCUCCAAGCCGAGUUGGCAAUAAGUGAAGAAAACACCCCUAGUGGGGAUGUAAUGCAUCGUGUCUUUGUUGACAAGUCGUGCAAAAGUAGUGAUGAUUCAGGAGAGGGAAAAGUAGGGUUUCACAAGAUAUUUAAUGCAAAGGCUGAGGCAUUAUUGGCGAAGAAGGGCAUAUGCCCUUGGAAAGGACAUGAAAUUGAUGGGGGUUCCGGAAAGAAUAACAUGAACUCAAUACAGUUGCAUGAUAAGCAAGAGAAUGACCAGAAUCAUCAGAGAGUUGCAGUUCUAGAGCCUUUCAUAAUUCCAGACUGCCAAAACAGCGAAUACACUUUGGCUAGCAAAUAUGAGGUCUCAGGUUCCUGGUGGGAUUUCAACAUAAACAGCAUGAGUAGCAUGAACAGCACUGGGAGUACUAACAGCAGCAGUAUUGAGACAGUAGAUUAUGAAGCAGACUGCUCAGAUUAUGAGAUUCUCUGGGAAGACCUAGUAAUCGGAGAACAAGUAGGUCAAGGUUGUUGCGGAACAGUGUAUCAUGCUCUGUGGCAUGGCUCGGACGUGGCAGCUAAAGUAUUCUCCAAGCAGGAAUAUUCAGAAGAAAUGAUAAAUACCUUCAGACAAGAGGUAUCAUUGAUGAAGAAACUACGACAUCCCAAUAUAAUACUUUUCAUGGGUGCAGUUCUGUCGCAGCAACGACUUUGUAUUGUUACUGAAUUUCUCCCACGCGGGAGUUUGUUCCGGUUGCUCCGAACUAACAUUGGCAAGAUGGAUCCAAGACGGAGAGUUAACAUGGCUAUAGACAUUGCAAGGGGCAUGAACUAUCUUCACAAUUCCAUUCCCACUGUUGUGCACCGUGAUUUGAAAUCGCCAAACCUGCUGGUUGAUAAGAAUUGGACUGUAAAGGUUGCAGACUUUGGUCUUUCACGUCUGAAACUCGAAACAUUUCUGACAACAAAAACUGGAAAAGGAACACCGCAGUGGAUGGCUCCAGAGGUGCUACGGAGUGAACCUUCAAAUGAAAAGUCUGAUGUAUUCAGUUAUGGAGUAGUCCUGUGGGAGCUUGUUACUCAGAAGAUUCCCUGGGAUACUCACAAUACAAUGCAGGUCAUCGGAGCCGUAGGUUUCAUGGAUCACAGACUGGAAAUUCCAAGGGAUGUGGAUCCUCAGUGGGCAUCGAUGAUCCAGAGUUGUUGGGACAGUGACCCACAACGCCGCCCUUCGUUCCAAGAACUCCUUGAGAGGCUCCGGGAGCUGCAAAAGCAGUACAACGUUCAGGCGCAGACACAGCGGAAAGAAGCUGGGAAAGUUGCUGGAAGUAUGAGCGUCAAAGAUAGCUAG
rnacentral:rRNA from 1 species